ensembl:lncRNA
CAUACAACCCCAACAAAUUUGUUUUAUUUACUUUACUGCCUGGGCAAAUUUGGGUUUGUCUUUUGUUUGCACAUUAUAUUCAAGCUAUUUUUACGAAAUAAUAACCACGCCCAGGUCUACGAAAAGCUUUUUGCGUAGGAAACCAUGGGUCGACUUGAUGAUGCUGCCAAACAAAAAGUUGUGGAGCUGCGAAGGGCUGGACUGAGCUUCCGUAAAAUUAAAGCUGAAUUGGAACUAGAGAACAUCAAGGUGUCGGCACAGGCUAUUUAUCUGUUCUUGAGAGAGUUUCAGGGAAGACCUCCAGGACGUGCGCGCCCUUUGGAGAUCCGAGGCACACCCGACCCUCAGCUGCAGGAACGGGGCAAAGGAGCUCCAGAUAAAUGGGGUGGCAUUCAUCUUCAAAAUCUCAUACGGAUUUCCUCUCAACAGUCACACCGUUCGGAUUUCAUGUCAAAAUCUCCAAAUCUAAGUAGCACAAACCCCCCAGGGUCCUCGGGAGAAUGUAGUAGUGGUAGUAGCAGCAGCAGCCAAGGGCAAGGACUUAAGGAAGAAAAUGACAUUCAGAUUGUCAGUGUCACAUCUCUUUCACAGACGAGCCAAAACAUUGUUCAGAACCCUGUAACAAGAGCUGCAACAACUCUAGCAUGUUCCACUGGAGCAACUACUGCAGCACUAGCAAAAAGAAGGGUCAGUCCUUCCCCUACUACAAACUCAAUGUUGGCUGCACGUAAGAGGAUUUUGGACAAAGCUCUAUCGCACAGAAUAAAGUCUUUCCAGCAGAUGGCAUCACUGAUAAGAAGAGACCAAACUAGUGUGCAGGGACCUGGUUUGAGAAAUCCUGUUACUCAACCAUCCAACACGUAUAAUUCAAAUGAAAGGGCUGCUAUGGAAAAUCAGUCUGAAGGAUUAGGAGGAACUUCAGCUCUGCAUUACUCAAUUCAAAGACCUAGUAUGACAGUCCGCUCAGUUCAGCCUCCUCCUCGUGUUGGCAUUCGUCUUCCAAGUCAAUCAGUGAAGUCAUUAUCUGGGAUCUCAAAUUUACGACUGCCACCCCCACCUAGCAGCCAAUCAACUAAUCAAAAUGAGGGGAAUUCUAGUCCACAACAUACUGUUCUAGAGUCAAGAGUGGACACUAUUCUGCAGGACCAAAUCCAGACAUUAAGCUCUGAAGUGCACAGUCUUGGCGUGGCGGUAAAGAUGUUGAUCGAGCAGCAGUGUCGUCUGGAGCGGGAGCAGGUGCAGCAGACAAACAUUCAGAAGCAAAUUCUCAGUACUCUUCAGACUAUGUCCUCCAAAAUGGGAUGCUGUAGCGCAGUUCAACAGCAACAAAAAACUCACUCACCUGCCGCUCUUAAAUCUACCUCCUUUAACCAAGACUCUUUUACAUGUAGCCAAGGCACUUACACACAGUGCAGCCAGUCGCAGCCAAGCUUCAGCUCUAUAGACUCUUUAGAAACAGUUGAACCCUUUAAACUCCCUGAACUUAGUCCUACCAGCAUGAAUGGUUUUGCAACAUGUAGCAGUGCUGAGAGCCUUCCACUUAUUCCAUCACCAUUGUACCAACAGCAAAACACUCAAGCUCAAGCCCACAUAUCAGCAUUCACACAAAGCUACGUGUCUGCUUACAACCAAUCAAAUAAUCACACAUUUGCAGAGAAUAAAUUGGCAAAUUUUUCAAACAGCUGUGCAGUAAGAACCUUUCAGGACUGUAAUAUUUCCACUGAGGUUUUAACAAUGAGCAGUUCUGUUCAGGAUCAGGUAAAUAGUAUAAAAGUGGAAGGCCCUUAGCAGAUUC